UGGCUCUGGUUUCUCUUCAGAUCGCAUAAACCUUUCACCUUUUACUAAAGAUUUCCAUGGAGAGGAAGAGGCACGAGUGUCGAGGAAUUA
rnacentral:snRNA from 1 species